AUGACUCUCAGCUCCAUCCUCAUGUGGACCCUGGUCAGCUGCUGUUUCACAGGAUGCAGCGGUCAGGUGACUGUGACUCAGCCUGCAGUAGUGACAUCUAGUCCAGGAUCCACGGUCACUCUGACAUGUAAGACUAACCAACCUGUUCAUACAUGGGGUGAGGGGAACGAGGAUAUGUUCUGGUAUCUUCAGAAAUCUGGGCAGAACCCAAAGCUCUUAAUAAGACAUAUCAGCACACACCUUUCAGGAACACCAGGUCGUUUCAGCGGCGGUGGCAGCAAAACGGAUUUCUCUUUGACCAUCAGUACAGUUCAGGCUGAAGAUGCAGGAGUUUAUCACUGUAUGAACAGGCACAGUGGUGGUGUGUUCACACAGUGAUUUAGAGUCGUACAAAAACCUCUGAUGCAGAGACACUGAACAGGAAGCUGUUACAGAGGAAGAGAUUCUAUCACAGACUUCUGAACACAGAGCUCACACUAACCUCAACAAACACAAAGUGUGUAAGAAACAAAGGAACAAAUGCUCCCAUUAUGAGAACACUCUAGUACUAAACGUUACUCUGUGGAUGUCGUCUUCUGAAAACUAGUCCAUGCAUUCAUCUUCAGUCGGCUCGAUUAUUGCAACAGUGUCUUUACAGGUCGACCUAAAAAAUCCAUUAGACAACUGCAGCUCAUUCAGAACUC